AACGCACCUUGCGCUCCUUGGUAUUCCGAGGAGCAUGCCUGUUUGAGUGUCAUGAAAUUCUCAACUGCCCCCAGGCUUUGUGGCCUGCGGGUGAAGUUGGACUUGGAGGCACGCUGGCGCGCAUGAAUGGGCUUUGUGCCCUGUUGUGCUUGUCGGCUCCUCUUGAAUGCAUGAGCUUUCCAAUCCUUGGCAAAGUAUCGUCGAUGUGAUAAUUAUCUGCGUCGCCCGAGAAAGCCUAAAAGGGGAAAUCUUUGAUCACGUUGGGUUGACCCACGUCUGACAAAUUCGACCUCAAAUCAGGUAGGACUACCCGCUGAACUUAA
rnacentral:misc_RNA from 1 species